rnacentral:rRNA from 1 species
UAGGGAAUAUUGGACAAUGGGCGAAAGCCUGAUCCAGCCAUGCCGCGUGAUAGAUGAAGGCCCUCUGGGUUGUAAAUAUCUUUUAUCUGGGAAGAAACUCCUCUAUUCUUAGAGGCCUGACGGUACCAGAGGAAUAAGCACCGGCUAACUCCGUGCCAGCAGCCGCGGUAAUACGGAGGGUGCAAGCGUUAUCCGGAUUCACUGGGUUUAAAGGGUGCGUAGGCGGGUUGAUAAGUCAGUGGUGAAAGCU